rnacentral:rRNA from 1 species
UGACGUUAGGAAAGCGAGCGGCGGAUGGGUGAGUAACACGUGGGGAACCUGCCCCAUAGUCUGGGAUACCACUUGGAAACAGGUGCUAAUACCGGAUAAGAAAGCAGAUCGCAUGAUCAGCUUUUAAAAGGCGGCGUAAGCUGUCGCUAUGGGAUGGCCCCGCGGUGCAUUAGCUAGUUGGUAAGGUAAAGGCUUACCAAGGCGAUGAUGCAUAGCCGAGUUGAGAGACUGAUCGGCCACAUUGGGACUGAGACACGGCCCAAACUCCUACGGGAGGCAGCAGUAGGGAAUCUUCCACAAUGGACGCAAGUCUGAUGGAGCAACGCCGCGUGAGUGAAGAAGGUUUUCGGAUCGUAAAGCUCUGUUGUUGGUGAAGAAGGAUAGAGGUAGUAACUGGCCUUUAUUUGACGGUAAUCAACCAGAAAGUCACGGCUAACUACGUGCCAGCAGCCGCGGUAAUACGUAGGUGGCAAGCGUUGUCCGGAUUUAUUGGGCGUAAAGCGAGCGCAGGCGGAAGAAUAAGUCUGAUGUGAAAGCCCUCGGCUUAACCGAGGAACUGCAUCGGAAACUGUUUUUCUUGAGUGCAGAAGAGGAGAGUGGAACUCCAUGUGUAGCGGUGGAAUGCGUAGAUAUAUGGAAGAACACCAGUGGCGAAGGCGGCUCUCUGGUCUGCAACUGACGCUGAGGCUCGAAAGCAUGGGUAGCGAACAGGAUUAGAUACCCUGGUAGUCCAUGCCGUAAACGAUGAGUGCUAAGUGUUGGGGAGGUUUCCGCCUCUCAGUGCUGCAGCUAACGCAUUAAGCACUCCGCCUGGGGAGUA